rnacentral:rRNA from 1 species
AUGGCGCAACUCUUUGAGACAAGGGAGAAGUGGGCUAAGCCAUAUUUGAAGGGUGUUUUCUGUGCAAAGAUGAACAGUACCCAAAGGAGUGAAAGUGUGAACCAUAUGCUUAUGAACUAUGUGCCACCCGGCUCUCCGAUGUAUACAUUUUUUAGGCAGUACAUGAGGUUGCAGUUUGAGCGCCAAUCGAAUGAGACUUAUGAAGUGAAGAGAACUAAAACCGCAGGUGUAGUCCUAGGGACAAAUUCCUCGAUUGAGAUACAUGCCAGCAAGGAGUACACCCGUGCGACGUUCGAGCAGUUUGAAAUCCUAUACGAUUGGCGAACCGUAGGGAAAAAUGGAGCAGGGACGUAUGCCUAG